UCUCUUUCUUUAGUAUAGUUUUAGUAUAUAAUUUUCUUUUAAUGUAAUAAAUAUCAUAAUAUAAUAAAUCAGCCUUCUGAAAACUUGGAGCCAAUUCUCAUCUCUCACCUCGUCCUGGGGACGCUCCAACAGCCCAACACUGCACAGUGGAACAGCCCUGCCCUGUGUGAGCCCCGGGGCUGCAGAAGGAAACCAAGCCCCUGUGGACACACCAGGAACUGCCAGGGAAGAGUUUGGAUCAGUCCUGCCUCGAGCAAAGGCAAACCCACCCUGGGAUUGCUCCUGCUCAGGGACCUGGGUGCGCUUGGUGGGAGAUGGAGAGGACAGGGAAACACAAAUGUCCCUGGGGGGCUUCGAUUCUGGGGUGAGAACAUUCUGGAAACGGAACUGUGUCCCACUGUGUGGCCACAUUUCUCUGCACAGAGAAAAGCCAGGCACAACUUCCCAAGGAUAUUUCUGGGAUUCUCAUGCUCUGAACCUCAGAGAAAGGAAAACCAGUUCUGAUCUCAAUUGCUGCUCCUGUGCUGUUCACAAGUGGGAUGCGUUGUGGAAGAUUGUUUGCCUGAAGGGAAUUGGUGAUUGAAUUCUGGUUAUGUGAUCAAUUAUUCUGGUCAAUUGGAUUCAUUGAUCAGUUGAAUCCAUGUGUGUGUGUCGUGACUGUCGGGUUCUGUGCAGUGCAGUUGAGUGCUUGGCAGAUUCAGUGCAAUAUAAUAUAGAAUAAUAUCGUAUAAUUAAGUAAUUAAUUAGCCUUCUCAUAAGAUGGAGUCUCCUCAUCAUCCUUCUCCCCUUGAUGUCUGACACCGCUGGCUGGGGUGACACUGCUGUGGCUCCCAGGGAGGACGAGGAUGGGCAGCUCCAGCUGGAAGCUCCGGGCACAGCAGCUCUCAUGUCCUGGGAGAUCCAGGACAGACACACGGACAGCCAGGAUUGACUGAUCUCAACACACACCUGGGACAGCCGGGGAUUGAGGAGGUGAAACUCCUGCUGUGCGUGAAAUGUGGGCACAGCUGGAACAUGGGGGAACCUGGGCAGGGGGUGGGUGGUGCAGGAAAAGGGUGAGGGCAGGGGUGGGAUAAGGAAUGGUGUGGAUGGAGUAAAGGGUGAGUGCAAGGUGUGGGAUAAGGAAUGGUGUGGAUGGAGUAAAGGGUGAGUGCAAGGGAUAAGGAAUGGUGUGGAUGGAGUAAAGGGUGAGUGCAAGGGAUAAGGAAUGGUGUGGAUGGAGUAAAGGGUGAGUGCAAGGGAUAAGGAUGGUGUGGAUGGAGUAAAGGGUGAGUGCAAGGGAUAAGGAAUGGUGUGGAUGGAGUAAAGGGUGAGUGCAAGGUGUGGGAUAAGGAAUGGUGUGGAUGGAGUAAAGGGUGAGUGCAGGGUGUGGGAUAAGGAAUGGUGUGGAUGGAGUAAAGGGUGAGGGCAAGGGAUAAGGAAUGGUGUGGAUGGAGUAAAGGGUGAGUGCAGGGUGUGGGAUAAGGAAUGGUGUGGAUGGAGUAAAGGGUGAGUGCAGGGUGUGGGAUAAGGAAUGGUGUGGAUGGAGUAAAGGGUGAGUGCAGGGUGUGGGAUAAGGAAUGGUGUGGAUGGAGUAAAGGGUGAGUGCAGGGUGUGGGAUAAGGAAUGGUGUGGAUGGAGUAAAGGGUGAGUGCAGGGUGUGGGAUAAGGAAUGGUGUGGAUGGAGUAAAGGGUGAGUGCAAGGUGUGGGAUAAGGAAUGGUGUGGAUGGAGUAAAGGGUGAGUGCAAGGGAUAAGGAAUGGUGUGGAUGGAGUAAAGGGUGAGUGCAGGGUGUGGGAUAAGGAAUGGUGUGGACGGAGUAAAGGGUGAGUGCAGGGUGUGGCAUAAGGAAUGGUGUGGGCGGAGUGCAGCAAGAGGUGGGAAUGGCCUGGUUGUGGCCAGGACAGGGUUAAUUUCUGCCCUUCUGUACUCUUUUCUUUACCAAUGUUGCCGUUCUGUUUGUGGAAGCUCUUCCCUCCACUGAUCCCUGCUGCCUUUCCUGCCCCCAGCUGGGUUUGGAGUCUGGGGGCCAGGACUGAGCACACACCUGGCAGUCACUGACCAAGGAAGGGGCUCACAGGAUCAAAGACCCCCUCCUCCUCCUCCUCCAGGUGUGUCCCACCUGGGCACACCUGAGCCAGGAUCAACCGAGGGUGCUCCAGCCCAGACACCCCCGGGGGGAUGGGGGAUUUGGGGAUGAAUUUGGGGGGAUUUGGGGAUGAAUUUGAGGGGAUUUGGGGCAAUUUGUAGAUGAUUUUGGGGUAACUUUGGAUGGUGAGGGGGUAAUUUGGGGGAAGAUUCAGGGAUAUUUUGAGGUGAUUUUGGGGCCAUCCUGAGGUGAUCUGGCAGAUUUUUGGAGGUGAUUUUGGGGUGGUUUGGGGGUGAUUUUGGGUAUUUCUUGGGGGGU